rnacentral:misc_RNA from 1 species
AGGAGCAGUCUCAUCGCCGCUGAAACCUGAAGACAUACUUGGAUUGGGUAUUCGGUAACGGAGAUCAGAGAAUAAUUGCUGUAAUACUGUGCUUGAGCCUUGAUCUCUGUAGUUCCCGGUUUCCUUAUCUGGCUUUCAGAGAGCAGGGAAGAUCGGAUCAGCGAAGGAUGGUAUGAAUCACGUGAUUGAUUAUUCAUAAUCGUUUAUCGCCUUGCAAGAGGUAAAUAAGGCCAAAGGGAAAAAGAUAGGAAAUUUUUAUUCGCAUACGGCGUCGUUUUGUCUAAGCUUCCUACUAAGAGGAAUUUG